AUUCUACUCGCACUUUUCAUAGCCUCUGUGUAAUUCAAUAGCUAGGUCCGGGUACUUUCCUAUUUUUAUCUAUACGUCUCAUAUUAAUGUUUCAAUCAUUUUUCAUUAUUUU